GCAAGCGCAGUGACUCCAGGAGGCACGGCCUUUGCGCAGGAAGAGCAGCAGUUUGCUGUGGAGCCGUCUGCAUCCAAGUCCAGCUCUGCUGCUCACUGGGAACGGGCCCUCCGGACAGAUUCUGCCCUUAAGAACUGAGUGUCUUCAGAGUCUCACCCUGUCUUUUAGGCUGGAGUGCAGUGGCAUGAUCUCAGCUCACUGCAGCCUCUGCCUGCCAGGUUCAAGCAAUUUUCCUGCCUCAGCCUCCCAAGUACCUGGGACUACAGUAAAUGAAAAUGGAGACCAGGCUUGAAGAAUCCUUCAGAGCAGGCAAAGCCAAUUAGACCUCACAAGGGAUCUUACCUCUGGUUUGCAAACGUAAGUGAAACUUAAGUUGAGCAUUUUCUUCUCUCUCUUCCUCUCUUUCUCUCUUUUUCUCUAUCUCUCCUUCUCUCUUUCUUUCACUCUUGUAGCCCAGGCUGGAAUGCAGUGGUGCAGUCUCAGCUCACUGUAACCUCUGCCUCUUGGGUUCAGGUGAUUCUCUUGCCUCAGCCUCCUGAGUAGCUGUGACUACAGGUAUGCACCAUCAUGCCCAGCUAAUUGUAUAUUUUUAGUAGAGAUGGGGUUUUGCCAUGUUGGCCAGGCUGAUCUCAAACUCCUGACCUCAGGUGAUCCACCCGCCUCAGCCUCCCAAAGUACUGGGAUUACAGGCGUGAG
rnacentral:lncRNA from 1 species